ensembl:lncRNA
AGUUACUGAUGGCGUCAUCGCCCUACUUGAACCAGAUGCCCUCACCAACCUCCAUGCAAUUGAAGAUGAUGGAGAACAUUGUCUGCGGCAUUCGAAAGGGAAGAGGAAAGGCCUAUUGAGGAUGAAAUCGAAUCCAAUGAGAGGCCAUCCACUUCUAAAUCCCAGCUUACCUCUGUAAGAUUCUCCCUGGAAUUAUAAUGAAACGCUCUACUAGGCAGUGUGAAAUCCAAUCUCAUCUUUUGCAUUCCUAUAGCUUCCAGUCAAAGACUUAUAUAAAAUCUAUCUAGAAAAGGAAAUACACAAAGCAGACUUGGAAAUGGACCACCUUAGGCAAAAGAUGCAAAAGGAUGCUUUGGAGUGUGUGUGUGUUAAAGUUAAAGGUGGGUGAGGUGCAAACUGGGAUACUGUUCCCUGCUCUAAAAACAUACCCAAUAUGAAUGACUUUUUUUGUGCUUUCAGGAAAUAAAGAAAUCCUCAUAAAAAGUAGAUUGUCUUUAUUAGAACACGGGCUGUGGUGGGACAAGUUAUUUUGUUGAACAGUUUACUCAAAGGGUUUUACUCCAGUGAACAAUGCAGACGAUUAUGCUGAGCAUGUGCAUGUAGAGAAGAAGC